GGAGAAAUUACACCUCCUCUCGACCUAGACCGGAGGGAGGGGUAGAAGUGUACUGUUAAAUCCGACAUUGCAUCACAAUGCUUCGAUCGAACAGCUAUGAAUACCUAAGGUUAUACUCUACACACUAAAGCACGCAUGCUUAGCAAAAUAGCCAUUCAAUGACUUACAGUGCAUCCAGCACUCCAGUUUCUUUACAUAAGAUACAUAGAUUGCAUACGCCCGAGGAAAAAAAAAGUGAUAAUGUCUCACUGUCCUCUCCUAUGUGCAAGUAGCUUCGACCUUGUUGAGCUAAACUAUAAAGUAGUUCGGGGAAUCGUUGAAUCUCUAACGCAUGUCCAAUCAGCCACAACCGUUCCACUGAAUCUGACAUAAGAUUUUGAUACAUCAAUAGUAUGAUACAGAAUAUGCUAUAAAAACAAUACAACUUCCAGUUCCCAAAUGCCUAAUAUAAGAUGUGAAGCUAUCAAACUGUACGAGAGCUUGCGUGCCUAUUCAAUAGUACGUGGACAAUUUCCUUCUGCUUCUCGAACCAGGAGUUGUGACCUAAAAAUGAUUCAGUAGAUCACACCGGCCCAAUUCAUCGAUUUCCACAUAUGCAUGCAUGCAUGCAGAGACUAGCCAUGGUUGAAGCGGCCGCCCGGAAUCGGCGGGCUUGGCGCCCAACCGUGGUGGUCGCCAAGCAUCCUCCGGCCAUCCACACCGCCGGCGCCCGUGGCGAGUAGCACCGCGGCUAUAAGCACCACAACAAGGACCACCACUCUCCUCGGCAAGGCUACCGCAUACAUACUGCUCCCCGUCGAUGAGGUCGAUCUUGUGAUUGUCC
rnacentral:rRNA from 1 species